ACAAUGGAGAGUUUGAUCCUGGCUCAGGAUGAACGCUAGCGGGAGGCCUAACACAUGCAAGCCGAGCGGUAGAGAUCUUUCGGGAUCUUGAGAGCGGCGUACGGGUGCGGAACACGUGUGCAACCUGCCUUUAUCUGGGGGAUAGCCUUUCGAAAGGAAGAUUAAUACCCCAUAAUAUACUGAAUGGCAUCAUUCGGUAUUGAAAACUCCGGUGGAUAGAGAUGGGCACGCGCAAGAUUAGAUAGUUGGUGAGGUAACGGCUCACCAAGUCUACGAUCUUUAGGGGGCCUGAGAGGGUGAUCCCCCACACUGGUACUGAGACACGGACCAGACUCCUACGGGAGGCAGCAGUGAGGAAUAUUGGACAAUGGGUGAGAGCCUGAUCCAGCCAUCCCGCGUGAAGGACGACGGCCCUAUGGGUUGUAAACUUCUUUUGUAUAGGGAUAAACCUACCCUCGUGAGGGUAGCUGAAGGUACUAUACGAAUAAGCACCGGCUAACUCCGUGCCAGCAGCCGCGGUAAUACGGAGG
rnacentral:rRNA from 1 species